GGGUUAGUAGACAUCUAUGGAGGGUGGCAUGACUGUAAAUCAUGUAUCAUUGCGUAUCAAGAAGGUUCGAUUCCUUCCUAGCCCA
rnacentral:tRNA from 1 species